rnacentral:piRNA from 1 species
CUCAGUUCUAUUAGCAGCUGCUCAGUGC